CAGUCGCCGCGGUAAUACAGAGGGUGCAAGCGUUAAUCGGAAUUACUGGGCGUAAAGCGCGCGUAGGUGGUUUGUUAAGUUGGAUGUGAAAUCCCCGGGCUCAACCUGGGAACUGCAUCCAAAACUGGCAAGCUAGAGUAUGGUAGAGGGUGGUGGAAUUUCCUGUGUAGCGGUGAAAUGCGUAGAUAUAGGAAGGAACACCAGUGGCGAAGGCGACCACCUGGACUGAUACUGACACUGAGGUGCGAAAGCGUGGGGAGCAAACAGGAUUAGAGACCCGUGUAGUCCCUGUCUCUUAUAC
rnacentral:rRNA from 1 species